AGUUGUCCCUGCACUGUGAUAGCUGUAUAGCUAAUUCACACUUAUUGAUGAAAAAAAGAUAUCCAUUAUAUAUUUGUACCAGUUCAUAGUAGAUACAGCAGCUGGAAGGGUAAACUCACGUCUCUCAGGAGGGUGAAGCUGGAAGGAUGCUUCAUUUUAAGCCUAGAAAGAUCCCGUAGGGUUGAUAUUCUCAAGAGUCUUCUGAAUAUGCUGGAGUUUUAAGGGGCCCAGUAGUGACACCCCUGUUCUUUGCUCAACAUAGACAUGAAAAAAUUUUUUUUUUUUUGACUUUUUGUCUUUUUAGGGCCACACCCGCGGCAUAUGGAGGUUCCCAGGCUAGCGGUCUAAUCAGGGCUGUAGCUGCCGGCCUAUGCCAGAGGCCAGCAACACCAGAUCUGAGCCUCAUCUGCAACCUACACCACAGCUCAUGGCAAUGCUGGAUCCUUAACCAACUGAGAGAGGCCAGGGAUCGAACCCUCAACCUCAUGGAUCCUAGUCGGAUUCGCUUCUGCUGCGCCACAGGGAGAACUCCUUUGCUGCAGAAUUUAAUACCCAACCCACCGAGGCAAGGCAGUCUUGCCCACAGAGGCAGAGUCUUUCCUGCUAAACUCUUGAGCAGAUGCUCAAUUCAUGCUUCAUGCAAAUAACUGGACCCCAGAAAAGGAGAUGCAGGAGCUGAAGCAUCAUCCUUAAUUCCUUCCACCAAAUUCAGGGGAUUAAGUCUGCCCCUGUUGCCUGGUGGGAAGAGUUCCAACAACAUCUAAGGAAGUAUAAAAACCAACCAAUCAGACAGACCCUGGGCUCACCCACCCAUUAUUCCCUUUCUGAUAGUAGCACCAGGGGUGUUUUAUGGCAGAAGGGGGUCCAGUUUCCCCCAGGCUCUCAGGAAUACAUUGGUGCCCAUGCCCAACUUCCUGGAAACGCUUGUUGAACCUGUUGAUACUGAUUGGUAUGACUUCGUGGGGAAGCCAGUUCGUUGUUUCCCCCAUGGAGCAUCUAUCUGUAUCCCCAGACUGUGGGGGAGAGAACAGGAGGGCCAGGCUACGUCCCCGCUUUUGUCCUCCAGGUGGCAGGAGCACCAUCUGGACUCUUCUCGCCGGGGCCACCUCAGGCCAAGCCAAAGAUAACACUGCUUCCACGCACAGGAACAUGCUGUGCUUUUCUGGGUUCCCAGGAAACCAAAUCCCAGCGAAGUUCAACAGUGCUGUUCGACUACGGGUAGCUCACAUUCGGAGCAUGAAGGACAAACAUGAGGCCCCAGAACUUCCUUCUGUAGGAGACUUAAGAGCCCCCUCCUGGGUCUUCUCUGAUCCUUUGCUAUGGGUUCUUUGAAGCCUUGUUCAGGUAGUGUCAGAAAUUCUUCCACAGCCUGGCUCAAGUACCCAGGGUAAAGAGCUGCCCCUGUUGCUCUGGAGGGAGGGGCAAGGAGUUGCAAACACCCACACACCCACCCCACUGACUCCCUUCCCCAGUGCCUCUCCCUCCCCAUAAGCUCAUCCCAAGGCUAGUGCAACAGAAUGCAACAGAAGCUAACUCAUCAUGCUGACUUGUCAGAAACGAGGGAUGUGGAUGCAGUUGCCUGCUUGCUAUUUCUUCCUGGAUGUCUCACAGGAACAUCUCCCACCUCCAUCCCAAGCCUGGGCCUUCUGCAGUGCCCCCCUCUCAGCAAAGGCUUCCCCACCCAUUCCAUGUGUAAGCAGGGAACCUAGGUCCACUCCUGUUCUCUCAGCCCAUGUCUAAGUCAUUGCCAAUUCAUUGCGAUGUUUUCCUCUGAUCAUCUCUUGAAUCCCCUUCACUACCCUCCCGUCAGGGUCACAGGCAUCUCUUGCACCAGUUAUUCUGCGUGCAUUUUCUCUCGCCUUCUCCGCUUCAGCUGCACAUUGCAACUAGCAUUUUUUUCUUUUUCAGAAUGCCAAUCUCAUCCUGUUACUUCUCCACUUUAAGGCCUUUCAAUUGCUUCCUCCUGUUCCUGGGACAAAAACGAAGACCCUAAAAUGACCUGCUAGACCUUAACCUUGCCCUUGCUGCACCUCCACCCUCUGGUCUGGCUGUGCCUCCCACCCCAGCUGCCCUCUCUAUUUCAGUCUCUCAGGCACCGUUUCUCCUCCCAGCAAAGGGCCAAUGUGUAGGUAUGUGCUUUCUUUGCUUGCACUACUUUGCCUUCUUUGUGCAAGUUUAAGGCUGUCUGACGCUUCAGAUCUCAGCUGGCAGUCACUUCCUCAGGGGAAAUUUUCUGACUUUCUGGAAUAAACCAAAUCUCUCCGUUGUAUUUUUCCAUGGCACCAAUGCCCAUCCCCCUUCAGAGCACUUACCAUGGUCACUAUCUGACACUUAUUCGAGGAUUAUUUCAUUCGUGUGUCUCCCCAACUAAAACGUAGCCCCACAUGGGCAAGAAGGACUUCUAUUUUUGCUCUCGCUGAAUUGGGUCCCCUGUGUCAGCCAUAAGGAUGAACAGAGGGCCCAUAACUCUGUGUUGAAUGAAUUGCAAGGUCCUCGCUGAGCCCCUACUGAGCAGGGCACUGUCUGGGGGCAGCUGCUCCCGCUCUGGCUCUGGGCUCUUCCCCUCCAUCGCAGCCUUAUCCAGUUUCCACCCUGUGGAAGGCCCGUCCUCCCCUUGGCUCUACGCCUCCCAUGGAGCGUGGGUUCCUGUGCUGAAGGACCGUCUCUGCAGCUGCUCUGCGAAGCCCCCACUGACCUCGCCAGAGCCAUUGCCUCUACUUGACUCUAACCUCUUGGGGAGGGUUCCUGCCUCCAGCUGCCAAUGUCACCUCCCUCUGGGGGAAUUUGACUGAGCUAACUGGGCUCUCCUGGAUUUUUCUCUGCUUUAGGAAGAGCACAGAACAGAGGACUGAAUGUGAAUCAGAAACUCUUGACUUUCUCUCUCUCUCUCUGCCCUUCUUGCCUUUUCUUCCUUCCUCUUCUUUCUCCUCCUCAACUCUUCAACCACCCCUGCCUAUAAGACGUUUUUCCUCUCCAAAGGAAUUACUAGCCAUCCCCUCUGCUUAGGAGCUGGCUGUGAGGAACCAGGUCAACGUGACAGAGGGGUCCCCAUGCCAGCAGCCCAAGCACACAGAACUUGAGGGAUUUUCUCUGAUGUGCACUGUUUUGCAGAGAAGUAUCUAUUUGUGCCUUUCAGAAUCCAUAGGUCUCCCACAGGAAAUGUGCGUUCAUAGUGCAUGUUUACAUCUGAGGGGGUUGUUGGGGAGAGGUCAGCCCCAGGUUUCCACAGGCAGCCUCUCUCCCCUCUCCAGCUGCCAGAGGUCUCUGCAGGAGAUCCUGCAGCAGUUAGUGACCAUUUCUCCUGGGGUGCCCAUGAAAAUGCGCCUCAAAGACCUCCAACUACAAGGAGCGAAACUACCCCAGCUGCUGUGAUCAGAGAUCCGGCUCCUGGUGCACAUGGUCUUUAGGCUGGGCCUGACCGUUGACUGUCCACAGCCGCAACUCCAAGGCAGGCCUGCCCCUGGGUGCCAUAGAACGCCUCUGACAGCUGACUUUCACUCCAGGACUCCCUGACCACCUGCGUCAAGCUCUGUAUCCUGCAGGGCCCCCUAGGAUACAUCUGCCCAAACUUCUUUCCUCUUCGCUCUGUUGGGGGUCCCUCUCACACUGACACUCCCAGCCACGCCAGCUGCCUACACAUGGCUUGUCACUGGCAAUUCCCCUAUUAAGUCCUGGCAUGUUUAAUCCGCCUCUUAGCCGCUGCUUCUUGGAAGACCCAGACGAUCUUUUUAUGCAGAUUCUCUGGAAGAGCAGCAUGCUCAGUAACAACAAAGCCUUCCAAUCAUGCUUUUCUAGGACAUAUAGAUCUUGAGAUAAGAAGGGUGAAAAACAACAUUAAAAACUGCACAUGCUGGCGUUCCCAUUGUGGCUAACAAACCUGACUAGGAUCUUUGAAGAUGCAGAUUUGAUCCCUGGCCCCACUCAGUGGGUUAAGGGUCCAGCAUUGCUAUGAGCUGCAAUGUAGGUCACAGAUGCGGCUCAGAUCCGGCAUUGCCGUGGCUGUGGCGCAGGCUGGCAGCUGCAGCUCUGGUUCAGUCCCUAGCCCGGGAACUUUCAUAUGCUGCAGGUGCAGCCCUAAAAAGACAGAAAAAAAAAACCAAAACACUGCACAUGCAACAUUAAAAACUGUGUAAGUAUAAAGGAGGCCCAUAUAUAGUAGUAUUUCUUACAUAAAAAUGGUGUGUCCUCACAUGCACCCGCAUGUUCAUUGCAGCUCUAUUCACAAUAGCCAUGACAUGGAAACAACCCAAAUGUCCAUCGACAGAAGAUUGGAUUAGGAAGAUAUGGUAUAUACACAAGGGAAUACUACUCAGCCAUAAAAAAGAACAAAAUAAUGCCAUUUGCAGCAACAUGGAUGGAACUAGAGAAUCUCAUACUGAGUGAAGUAAGUCAGAAAGAUAAAGACACAUACCAUAUGAUAUCACUUAUAUCUGGAAUCUAAUAUACAGCGCAAAUGAACCUUUCCACAGAAAAGAAAAUCAUGGACUUGGAGAAUAGACUUGUGGUUGCCAAGGGGGAAGAGGAGAGAGUGGGGUGCUUAGAGAGCUUGGGGUUAAUAGAUACAAACUAUUGCCUUUGGAAUGGAUUAGCAGUGAGAUCCUGCUGUGUAGCACUGGGAACUCUGUCUAGUCACUUAUGAUAGUGCAUGAUAAUGUGCAAAAAUAGAAUGUGUACAUGUAUGUAUAACUGGCACCAUGCUGUACAGUAGAAAAAAAUUGUAUUGGGGAAAUAACUAUU
rnacentral:lncRNA from 1 species